rnacentral:rRNA from 1 species
UACGUAGGGUGCAAGCGUUGUCCGGAAUUAUUGGGCGUAAAGAGCUCGUAGGCGGUUUGUCGCGUCUGCCGUGAAAAUCCGAGGCUCAACCUCGGACUUGCGGUGGGUACGGGCAGACUAGAGUGUGGUAGGGGAGACUGGAAUUCCUGGUGUAGCGGUGAAAUGCGCAGAUAUCAGGAGGAACACCGAUGGCGAAGGCAGGUCUCUGGGCCGAUACUGACGCUGAGGAGCGAAAGCGUGGGGAGCGAACAGG